rnacentral:rRNA from 1 species
UACGUAGGGGGCAAGCGUUGUCCGGAAUUACUGGGCGUAAAGGGCGCGUAGGCGGGAUGGCAAGUCGGUCGUGAAAUCCCUCGGCUCAACCGAGGAACGUCGAUCGAUACUGCUGUUCUUGAGGAUUGCAGAGGAGACUGGAAUUCCCGGUGUAGCGGUGAAAUGUGUAGAGAUCGGGAGGAACACCGGUGGCGAAGGCGGCCCACUGGUCCGGUACUGACGCUGAGGUGCGAAAGCGUGGGGAGCAAACAGG